rnacentral:rRNA from 1 species
UACAGAGGUCUCAAGCGUUGUUCGGAUUCAUUGGGCGUAAAGGGUGCGUAGGUGGCGUGGUAAGUCGGGUGUGAAAUUUCGGAGCUUAACUCCGAAACUGCAUUCGAUACUGCUGUGCUUGAGGACUGGAGAGGAGACUGGAAUUUACGGUGUAGCAGUGAAAUGCGUAGAGAUCGUAAGGAAGACCAGUGGCGAAGGCGGGUCUCUGGACAGUUCCUGACGCUGAGGCACGAAGGUCAGGGGAGCAAACGGG